AUUUGCCGUACAGAAAAUAGUUUAUUUGAAGUUUCGCCUGACGCAAGGUUGGUCAAGGUUGUGCGGUGCAAAAGUGACCCGGAAAGCGUUGUUACUGCGAGAUCAACAAGCUUUGCGUAUCUUGGAUUUGUCGACAACACAAGCAACUUCUGCUUGUGAUGGUUUGACUGAGAGCUAGCUGUUCAACAUGCGAGUGCGGCCCCAGACUGUGAAGCGACUGGUUUAUGCCGGUGUCGCUGCCGGUGGUGGGGUGUUUGUAGCGACAUUCAUCUACCCUAGACUCUCUGUAAAGAAGACAGAGCUGGGACGAGUGUUGGCAGCAGAUGUCCAGCAGCAGUACAGCAAUGCACCUCUGCCCCUACGGGAGGACAUCCACAACCGACUGGCCACAGAGGAGUUUGAUGUCCUGGUGGUGGGAGGUGGUGCCACAGGAUGUGGAGUGGCACUGGAUGCUGUCAGUCGAGGCUUGAAGACAUCUCUGGUUGAGAAGUUUGACUACUCAGCCGGAACCAGCAGCAGAAGCACGAAGUUGAUCCAUGGCGGCGUCCGGUACCUGCAGAAGGCAGUCUUCAACCUUGACUAUGAACAGUAUCGGAUGGUGAAGGAAGCCCUUGCAGAAAGAGCUAACCUGAUUGAAAUCGCCCCACAUCUUGCCUACCCGUUCCCCAUCAUGUUGCCUGUAUACAAGUGGUGGCAGGUGCCGUACUUCUGGGCGGGGAUCAAGAUGUACGACCUGGUGGCGGGGAAGCAGCUGCUCAAGUCCAGCUACUACCUGUCCAAGAAGAAGGCCCUGGAGUUGUUCCCCAUGCUGAAGAAGGACAGGCUUGUUGGUGCUCUGGUCUACUAUGAUGGUCAGCAUGACGACGCUCGGAUGAACAUUUCAUUGGCGAUGACAGCAGUGAGGAUGGGCGGGGCACUCACAAACCACACGGAGGUCGUUCAUCUACUCAAGACCAUGGAUGGGGAGGGGAAGGAGACAGUGUGUGGAGCUCAUGUUAAAGAUUUAAUUUCUGGUAAAGAGUUUGAUAUUAAAGCAAAGUGUGUGAUAAAUGCAACUGGGCCGUACACGGACUCCCUGCGUAAAAUGUCCAACCCUCAGGUGCGGAAAAUCUGCCAACCCAGCUCAGGCGUACAUAUUGUGCUACCUGACUACUACAGUCCUGAGAGUAUGGGUUUGCUUGAUCCAUCCACCAGUGACGGGAGGGUCAUCUUCUUCCUGCCCUGGCAGAAAGUUACACUAGCAGGUACGACGGACAGCCCGUGUGAUGUCACGGACUACCCACAACCCACAGAGAAAGAGAUUCAGUUCAUACUUAAUGAGAUCAGGAAUUAUUUGAAUCCAGAUGUUGAAGUGCGGAGAGGAGAUGUGUUGUCUGCCUGGAGUGGCCUGAGGCCACUUGUAGCUGACCCAAACAAAUCUGAUACUCAAUCCAUUGCUAGAAACCACAUUAUAGAAGUCGCUUCUGAUCAUCUUAUAACAAUAGCAGGAGGGAAAUGGACGACGUAUCGUCACAUGGCGCAGGAGACCAUUGACAAGGCUGUGGAGGUGUGUGGCCUGACACCCACCUCGGGCUGCCGCACACAGGGUCUGAUGGUGGAGGGAUCUCAUGGCUUCACGCCCACACUCUUCAUCAGACUCGUCCAGGACUUUGGUCUGGAAAAUGAAGUUGCUCAGCAUCUUGCCAACACAUAUGGAGACAAGGCAUUUAAAGUGGCCAAGCUUGCCAACCUGACAGGACGGCGGUGGCCGAUUGUGGGGAGGAGAUUAUCAGAGGAAUACCCGUAUACAGAGGCCGAGGUAAAGUACGCUGUGCGGGAAUAUGCCUGUUCAGCAAUAGAUGUUUUGGCACGACGUACUCGUCUGGCAUUCUGCAACGUCCACGCAGCGGAGGAGGCCCUGCCACGCAUCAUCGAAAUCAUGGCUGAAGAACUAAAGUGGAAUAAAACAAAACAGAAGGAGGAGACGGAGAGAGCAAAGCGCUUCCUCCGCAGGGAGAUGGGUCUCGACAUUAAAAAGGCCUCGGAAAUGCAGGCUCCGAUUAACUUCACCAAGGAUGAAAUCAACAUGUACGUGAAGAGAUUCAAGGGCCUGGACUAUGACAACAAGGGCUACAUCACCAUCAAUGACCUGCGUAGAUACUUCAAGAAACUUGCCUAUUUUGAAAAAAAUUGGAGAAAGAGUGACUGAAGAUCAGCUUCAUGACAUUCUCAGUGAAGUCGACCUCAACAAGAAUGCUCAAGUUGACCUUGGCGAGUACCUCCAGACAAACAAAAGCACAAACACUUGUUGCCAUGGUAACCUUGGUAGCUCAUGAGUGCUCUUAAGAGUGGCCGGGUGUCCAACUCACGACUAGCCAUGGCAGCGGAGCAGAGCGCAGAAA
rnacentral:misc_RNA from 1 species